GACGAACGCUGGCGGCGCGCCUAACACAUGCAAGUCGAACGGAACUUAAGAGAGCUUGCUUUCUUAAGUUUAGUGGCGAACGGGUGAGUAACGCGUGAGUAACCUGCCCUGGAGUGGGGGACAACAGUUGGAAACGACUGCUAAUACCGCAUGAUGCAUUUGGGCUGCAUGGCUCUGAAUGCCAAAGAUUUAUCGCUCUGAGAUGGACUCGCGUCUGAUUAGCUAGUUGGUGAGGUAACGGCUCACCAAGGCGACGAUCAGUAGCCGGACUGAGAGGUUGGCCGGCCACAUUGGGACUGAGACACGGCCCAG
rnacentral:rRNA from 1 species